rnacentral:rRNA from 1 species
CUUUCCUUAAAUUCUGCAGACUUGGGAUCGGUCAGCGUCCAUCAUAUCGACCUGAUCGGCACCUUCCUUCCCUACCGAGAAAUCAAAGUCUUUGUGUUCCGGGGGGAGUACAUUCGCAAGGCUGAAACUUAAAGGAAUUGACGGAGAACCACCACCAGUCGUGGAUUGUGUGGCUUAAUUCGACUCAACACGGGAAAUUUUACCAGCACAGGACAGGGUCAGGAUUGCCAAGUUAAAGCCUUUGCUUGAUUCCCUGAAGGGUGG